rnacentral:rRNA from 1 species
CCUACGGGAGGCAGCAGUGAGGAAUAUUGGUCAAUGGGCGCGAGCCUGAACCAGCCAAGUCGCGUGAGGGAAGACGGUCCUAUGGAUUGUAAACCUCUUUUGUCGGGGAGCAAAAGACGCCACGCGUGGCGUUCCGAGAGUACCCGAAGAAAAAGCAUCGGCUAACUCCGUGCCAGCAGCCGCGGUAAUACGGAGGAUGCGAGCGUUAUCCGGAUUUAUUGGGUUUAAAGGGUGCGUAGGCGGGACCUUAAGUCAGCGGUAAAAUUGCGGUGCUCAACGCCGUAGAGCCGUUGAAACUGGGGUUCUUGAGUGAGCGAGAAGUAUGCGGAAUGCGUGGUGUAGCGGUGAAAUGCAUAGAUAUCACGCAGAACCCCGAUUGCGAAGGCAGCAUACCGGCGCUCAACUGACGCUGAGGCACGAAAGUGCGGGUAUCGAACAGGAUUAGAUACCCUGGUAGUC